rnacentral:rRNA from 1 species
UACGUAGGUGGCAAGCGUUGUCCGGAUUUACUGGGUGUAAAGGGCGUGCAGCCGGGCUGACAAGUCAGAUGUGAAAUCCCGCGGCUCAACUGCGGAACUGCAUUUGAAACUGUUAGUCUUGAGUACCGGAGAGGUCAUCGGAAUUCCUUGUGUAGCGGUGAAAUGCGUAGAUAUAAGGAAGAACACCAGUGGCGAAGGCGGAUGACUGGACGGCAACUGACGGUGAGGCGCGAAAGCGUGGGGAGCAAACAGG